UACAGAGGGGGCAAGCGUUAUUCGGAAUUAUUGGGCGUAAAGGGCGCGUAGGCGGCUUGGCAAGUGGAAGGUGAAAUCCCUCGGCUUAACCGAGGAACUGCCCUCCAAACUGCCUCGCUUGAGACCGGGAGAGGUGAGUGGAAUUCCCAGUGUAGCGGUGAAAUGCGUAGAUAUUGGGAGGAACACCAGUGGCGAAGGCGGCUCACUGGACCGGUACUGACGCUGAUGCGCGAAAGCGUGGGGAGCAAACGGG
rnacentral:rRNA from 1 species